rnacentral:misc_RNA from 1 species
GAUGAAGAAGUAGCGAAAUGCGAUAAGUAGUGUGAAUUGCAGAAUUCAGUGAAUCAUCGAAUCUUUGAACGCACAUUGCGCCCCAUGGUAUUCCGUGGGGCAUGCCUGUUCGAGCGUCAUUUACCCCCUCAAGCUCCGCUUGGUGUUGGGCGUCUGUCCCGCUUCGCGCGCGGACUCGCCCCAAAGGUAUUGGCAGCGGUCGUGCCAGCUUCUCGCGCAGCACAUUGCGCUUCUCGAGGCACCGGUGGGCCCGCGUCCAUCAAGCUCACCCCCCCAGUUUGACCUCGGAUCAGGUAGGGAUACCCGCUGAACUUAAGCAUAUCAAUAAGCGGAGGA